UACUAAUCCUGUGUCAGAAUCUAUCAUUAUAAGGGCACAAGGAGGGAUGGACAGAUGGUGGGGAAGAUCACAAUGAAGAGGAGACUAUUGCCAGGAUACAGGGUAUCCACUAUGUCAACAGGCCAAGAUUGGCAAAAAUGAUUAAUUGUUUGACAAGCCUUGAUCCUACAAAAAGACUCAAUUAUUUGUCCAAGAAGCAAGGAUCAACUGCACCCAACCUUAGAAUAAAGGAAGCAUAGAGAGACAGUACCUAUCUUAAAAUAAAGCAGAGUGCCUCACUUGCCAGCAAGAGCCCACAGAGC